rnacentral:rRNA from 1 species
GACGAACGCUGGCGGCGUGCUUAACACAUGCAAGUCGAACGGAAAGGCCCCUUUUGGGGUACUCGAGUGGCGCACGGGUGAGUAACACGUGAGUAACCUUCCCUUGACUUCGGGAUAACUUCAGGAAACUGGGGCCAAUACCGGAUAGGAAUCCUUGCUGCAUGGUGGGGGUUGGAAAGAUUCGGCGGUUUUGGAUGGACUCGCGGCUUAUCAGCUUGUUGGUGGGGUAGUGGCUUACCAAGGCUUCGACGGGUAGCCGGACUGAGAGGGCGACCGGCCACACUGGGACUGAGAUACGGCCGCGACUCCUACGGGUGGAAGAAGUGGGGAAUAUUGAUCCAUGGGCGGCGGCCUGAUGCAGAAACGCCGCGUGCGGGAUGACGGCCUUCGGGUUGGAAACCGCUUUCAGCAGGGGCGAAGCUUGUGGUGACGGUACCUGCAGAAGAAGCACCGGCUAACUACGUG